CCGUUUUGGAGACAGCAUUUUUUAUACAAAACAGUAAAAGUUAUCUGUGGAGUAGGCCGGAAAAUCCCUUGAUAAGAAGCCCUGUCUCAGAGGAGGACCGAUUCAAGGCAGGAGCCCUGACUCCAAGGUAGAAGGAAAAAAAUCUCUGUAAAGAAAUGUCUGUCUUAAGUCUGUUUGCCACCUGUACCACCUCCAUGGCACCCAUCAGAGAUUUGAUGGUACAGGGGGCUCUAUCCACGCUGGCCACGAGGAGACCCUGACGCUCAAAGUCAGCAACCUGUCCGAAGCCACCACCAACCAGCGCCGAGUCUGGUCCACACCCAAGGGCAUCUGGCUCCCGGCCUCCUCCCAGCCAUUCCUCUACAGCAGGCUUCCAAGUCAGGACCCCAUUUGAGUGAAAAUCUAGCCAUGUCCCUUCUU